AGUUGUUGCUGUGCCAUGUUUCCUGAUCUUUAUAAUUACUGCUUUAAUCAUUCUGAGAGGAGUCCGCAAACGACGUUCACAAAAUUUAACCCAGCCUCCAAGAAGAUUGCAGCAACAGAGAGAACCUGUUUAUGAAAACCUGGAAAUUGAAAGUCACCAACGAUCUGUAAAAAUUCAGAUUCACCCUUACAAAUACAGGGCUGAGUGAUAUGAAUCACACAUACUAAAGACUUACUAUUUGUUUUUAGAUUACCAGCAGUUUUAAAUAGCUUUCUAUUGAAGAGCAUUAAUUGUAGUUAAAAUUGCAUUUUUUUUCUGGCUAACUGAACAUAUGUCAUAAUGUGAUCUCAUCACUUGUAAUUAUAAAUAAAUUAACAGUUCACUCAUCUG